rnacentral:rRNA from 2 species
AAUCCAUAGGUUAAUGAGGCGAACCGGGGGAACUGAAACAUCUAAGUACCCCGAGGAAAAGAAAUCAACCGAGAUUCCCCCAGUAGCGGCGAGCGAACGGGGAGGAGCCCAGAGCCUGAAUCAGCAUGUGUGUUAGUGGAAGCGUCUGGAAAGGCGCGCGAUACAGGGUGACAGCCCCGUACACAAAAGCGCAUGUGCUGUGAGCUCGAUGAGUAGGGCGGGACACGUGGUAUCCUGUCUGAAUAUGGGGGGACCAUCCUCCAAGGCUAAAUACUCCUGACUGACCGAUAGUGAACCAGUACCGUGAGGGAAAGGCGAAAAGAACCCCGGCGAGGGGAGUGAAAAAGAACCUGAAACCGUGUACGUACAAGCAGUGGGAGCCCCACCACCAAAGCAUUUGCUGUACCGCGUUGACGGAGCGAAGCGACGUCAAACCGAUAAAACAGCAGUGUAAAGUGAGCCGCAGGGCGCUUUGCGC